GGGAAUAUAGCUCAGUAGUAGAGUGCUUGCCUAGCAUGAACAAGCCCCUGGGUUCAAUUCCCAGUGCUCA
rfam:Fukomys damarensis contig131931, whole genome shotgun sequence.